CGGGGGGGUGCUAUACAUGCAAGUCGAACGAACUCUGGUAUUGAUUGGUGCUUGCAUCAUGAUUUACAUUUGAGUGAGUGGCGAACUGGUGAGUAACACGUGGGAAACCUGCCCAGAAGCGGGGGAUAACACCUGGAAACAGAUGCUAAUACCGCAUAACAACUUGGACCGCAUGGUCCGAGCUUGAAAGAUGGCUUCGGCUAUCACUUUUGGAUGGUCCCGCGGCGUAUUAGCUAGAUGGUGGGGUAACGGCUCACCAUGGCAAUGAUACGUAGCCGACCUGAGAGGGUAAUCGGCCACAUUGGGACUGAGACACGGCCCAAACUCCUACGGGAGGCAGCAGUAGGGAAUCUUCCACAAUGGACGAAAGUCUGAUGGAGCAACGCCGCGUGAGUGAAGAAGGGUUUCGGCUCGUAAAACUCUGUUGUUAAAGAAGAACAUAUCUGAGAGUAACUGUUCAGGUAUUGACGGUAUUUAACCAGAAAGCCACGGCUAACUACGUGCCAGCAGCCGCGGUAAUACGUAGGUGGCAAGCGUUGUCCGGAUUUAUUGGGCGUAAAGCGAGCGCAGGCGGUUUUUUAAGUCUGAUGUGAAAGCCUUCGGCUCAACCGAAGAAGUGCAUCGGAAACUGGGAAACUUGAGUGCAGAAGAGGACAGUGGAACUCCAUGUGUAGCGGUGAAAUGCGUAGAUAUAUGGAAGAACACCAGUGGCGAAGGCGGCUGUCUGGUCUGUAACUGACGCUGAGGCUCGAAAGUAUGGGUAGCAAACAGGAUUAGAUACCCUGGUAGUCCAUACCGUAAACGAUGAAUGCUAAGUGUUGGAGGGUUUCCGCCCUUCAGUGCUGCAGCUAACGCAUUAAGCAUUCCGCCUGGGGAGUACGGCCGCAAGCUGAAACUCAAAGGAAUUGACGGGGGCCCGCACAAGCGGUGGAGCAUGUGGUUUAAUUCGA
rnacentral:rRNA from 2 species